ACUACAAUAUUAUUAUAUUUUUCGUACUAAUGAAAGUUAGUAAAAUUUUUAUUGAUAGUUCAUAUAUUUUAAGAAAAAAAAUUCUCCAUCAUACAUAAUUUAUUUAUAUUGUCAAAAAAAUAUUGUAUACAUUCAUCAAAAAGGUAAAAAAUAUUUAUCAUCUUACAUUAUAUAUGUAUAGAAAAAGUAAAAAAAAUAUAUAUAUAUAGAGUCCGUCUACUAUACUUUCGAAAGUACCGGGACCUCCGUACUUAUAAGUUGUUUUCGAUGAAAUUUGAGUCAUUUAUCAUUAUUUUUUAUGAGAUUUUUAUUUUCAACCGUUCAUUUUGAGGCUACUCGUUCAAUAGACAAACGAAGUCAACAAAUUAUAAAAUUUGGUUUCUAGAUAGUUCCAAUACCUUAGAUCAUAUUUAACGGAACCGAUCGCUGAAUCGGACAUCCCAUCAUCGAAAACAACUUAUAAGUACGUAGGCCCCCGCACUUUCGAAAGCAUAGGAGCCUAACUCUCUCUCUCUCUCUCUCUCUCUCUCUCUCU
rnacentral:lncRNA from 1 species